UAUGUAAGUGGACACUUACUUUUGAACCAAAAUAAAAAUUGAAUAAUUAACCCAAUUAACAGUCCAUUAUAGCAAUAAACUUAAAAUAACCCUGUUCUUUUUUACUUACAAGUAAUAGCCUGUCAGGUCUCUUUCAUUUAAUUUAUCAUCCCAAAACUAACACCCCUUUUUGGCUCCCUUUUCACCUCUCCAACAGCUCCAUGGCAGCCAACAAACAAGUAAAAACUAACACCAUUUCACCUCUCUCUCUCUCUCUAUUCAUGGUAUAAUGGCGGUUGUAUGGUGUUUUGUAAGCCCAUCUCAUAGGAAAAUGAGACUUUCAAAUCUUGAAUCGAAAUAAAAAAGCUUUCAGUACUGUGAUUGAGGUGUAAUGGCUGUUGAUUUCAUUUUCGGAACGAGUGGAUCUCGAGACGCUGCCGACCACUGUGAUGGUCAUCUGGACGAUUUAGGAUGAGCCAUCAGUUGAUCCACGACACCAGAUCUUCUUCAAUUAUCUUUAUUGAUGUGUACUUUUCGGAUGUAUGCCUAGACCUAUACUUCAUUUAGUAGUUCUUGUACUAGUGACACCAGAUUCGGAGAUGGUUGUACCUCUAUUAUUCUGUUUUAUGAAAAUAAGGACAACUAGUAUUUGAAAUAAUUUGAAUGAUUUCUUUUUCUGCUUUAA